rnacentral:tRNA from 1 species
GUUAAAGUGGCAGAAUCCAGUAAUGAUAUAAUACUUACACUUUUAUAACUAAAAGUUCAAUUCCUCUUUUUAACA